UACGUGCUCCCUCCGUCCAAUAUUAGUUGUCCCAAAUUUAUCCAAAUAUGGAUGUAUCUAUACCUAAAAAACGUCUAGAUACAUGUAAUAUUUCGACAACUAAUAUUGGAGGAGGAAGUACAAG
rfam:Brachypodium distachyon strain Bd21 chromosome 1, whole genome shotgun sequence.